rnacentral:rRNA from 1 species
CCUACGGGUGGCUGCAGUGAGGAAUAUUGGUCAAUGGCCGGAAGGCUGAACCAGCCAUGCCGCGUGAAGGUCAGUGCCCUAUGGGCGUUAAACUUCUUUUGUGCGGGAGCAAUAAUGGUCACGUGUGGCCAGACGAGAGUACCGUACGAAUACGCAUCGGCUAACACCGUGCCAGCAGCCGCGGUAAGCCGGGGGAUGCAAGCGUUAUCCGGAUUUAUUGGGUUUAAAGGGUGCGUAGGCUGUGAGGUAAGUCAGCGGUGAAAUGCCGCCGCUCAACGGGGUGAAGUGCCAUUGAUACUGCCUGGCUGGAAUGCGGAUGCCGUGGGAGGAAUGUGUGGUGUAGCGGUGAAAUGCAUAGAUAUCACACAGAACACCGAUUGCGAAGGCAUCUCACGAAUCCGCGAUUGACGCUGAUGCACGAAAGCGUGGGUAUCAAACAGGAUUAGAUACCCUGGUAGUC